GAUGAACGCUGGCGGCGUGCCUAAUACAUGCAAGUCGAGCGAACGGACGAGAAGCUUGCUUCUCUGAUGUUAGCGGCGGACGGGUGAGUAACACGUGGAUAACCUACUUAUAAGACUGGGAUAACUUCGGGAAACCGGAGCUAAUACCGGAUAAUAUUUUGAACCGCAUGGUUCAAAAGUGAAAGACGGUCUUGCUGUCACUUAUAGAUGGAUCCGCGCUGCAUUAGCUAGUUGGUAAGGUAACGGCUUACCAAGGCAACGAUGCAUAGCCGACCUGAGAGGGUGAUCGGCCACACUGGAACUGAGACACGGUCCAGACUCCUACGGGAGGCAGCAGUAGGGAAUCUUCCGCAAUGGGCGAAAGCCUGACGGAGCAACGCCGCGUGAGUGAUGAAGGUCUUCGGAUCGUAAAACUCUGUUAUUAGGGAAGAACAUAUGUGUAAGUAACUGUGCACAUCUUGACGGUACCUAAGCAGAAAGCCACGGCUAACUACGU
rnacentral:rRNA from 1 species